GGGAGAGAGGGGCGGGCACUGGCUCCGGACCCGAAACUCCGCUCUCAGCAAAAAGCGGCUCCCGGGAACUGGAAGCCUGGCGAGCCAGCAAGUCGGAGGAAAGGGUGAAGAAGAGCAAACCUGCUCCCCGAACGACGCUUCCUUGGAAAUGAUAUGCAUGUACAAACACGUGCACACACAUGCGUGCACACCCAUAAGCAAACAUACAUACUUCCCAUUGGCCAGAACUUAAUCACAUGGGCACACCCAAGAGCAAAGAAGGCUGGGAAAUGUAGCCUGUGCCAAGUGACCACACACCCAGCUACAAACGGUCACCAGUUUCAAGAUUUGUACAUCCUGGUGUCACGGUGAAAAGCCUAUUGGUGGCAAGCACAUAAGGCACGUGGGAUGGCCAGGGGCCUCCAGCACAGGAAGGCCCCGAGUGAAAGCCUAGCAGAGGUAGGUGCCUGUGUGUCCUGGGACAUCCUACUGAGCAGGCAAACCACGGACACAUUCAGCUCCAAAAUAUUUCCAUAUGGUCCCGGUAUAGCAGUUGAAUUGGUUUGACUCAUGCAUUCUUUAAAUAGCAAGUACAAAUAACCUGGAUGAUUCUUAAUGUUCCAUUUAUUCCUCUAUCCGUUUAUUGUUCUGUGAUUUA
rnacentral:lncRNA from 1 species